rnacentral:lncRNA from 1 species
ACAAAAGUUGCUUGAGUUUAUCCAAAUCCACGACUUAUUAUUAUCCUCUGAUUAUUUACGAGGCAUGGAUGUGACAUUUUCCCCUCAUAUAAACAAAAAUAAUACAACACACUCUACCCUCACUUCAACACGUUUUCUGUUGUUUUUGCACCCCAUGAAUAUAUAUAGUACUACAGACAGCAUAGCUGUUUGAUGAUUUCAGAAAUUUAAUUAUUAUGGCAACCCGCUCCCCUACAAAGAGUGGGGGUGCUUGCAGAGCAGGAGGUGUCGUAGGACCAUGGUUCAUUUUUUGUGUACAAGAAGAUAUAUGGCUAUUUUUGCACCUCUCAAGAGCCACUUGUCAAGAGGGCUAAUUAAUUCUAUUUGAGAAAACAACACAAAUUUCACGUGUUUAUGUGUUAAUAAGGUGCGCUCACAUUAUUUUAGGGAUAUACUAUUUGUGUCACUUUUAUCUUUGUCAGGUACAUGUAUCUGGUGCACUUAGAUACAUAUACAUUAGAGUGUGAGUCGAAUUAGGAGUGAUUUGUUUUAGAUAUAUUGGUAUCGAUUCUUAUAUAACUAGUUAGACAAAUAUUUUCAUCAUAUCUACUAAACUUUGUAUCCUAAUUAUAAUAAAGCUUAAAUCAAAAU